rnacentral:snoRNA from 16 species
AAGAUCAUACUUUUAGGGAUCAUUUCUAUAGUAUGUGACCCGUGCAUUCUCACGGAAACGUGAACGCACGCAGAAGCCACGAUGACGAGCGGUAGCGUUCCCUUCUGAGCGCGAAGCGGGUCGGGAGUGGAGUCCCUGGGGCUCCGGGCUCCCGGCCAUUGAUGACCGUUCCUUCCCCUCUUACGGAGGGCUUGGAGGAAGGGAACGCAUUCCGAGUGGU